AGUGAACGCUGGCGGUAGGCCUAACACAUGCAAGUCGAACGGCAGCACAGUAAGAGCUUGCUCUUACGGGUGGCGAGUGGCGGACGGGUGAGGAAUACAUCGGAAUCUACUUUUUCGUGGGGGAUAACGUAGGGAAACUUACGCUAAUACCGCAUACGACCUACGGGUGAAAGCAGGAGAUCUUCGGACCUUUCGCGAUUGAAUGAGCCGAUGUCGGAUUAGCUAGUUGGCGGGGUAAAGGCCCACCAAGGCGACGAUCCGUAGCUGGUCUGAGAGGAUGAUCAGCCACACUGGAACUGAGACACGGUCCAGACUCCUACGGGAGGCAGCAGUGGGGAAUAUUGGACAAUGGGCGCAAGCCUGAUCCAGCCAUACCGCGUGGGUGAAGAAGGCCUUCGGGUUGUAAAGCCCUUUUGUUGGGAAAGAAAAGCAGCAGGUUAAUACCCCGCUGUUCUGACGGUACCCAAAGAAUAAGCACCGGCUAACUUCGUG
rnacentral:rRNA from 1 species